GCCGCGGUAGCUCAGUGGUAGAGCGCAAGCCUGAAGAGCUUGGCGUCGUCAGUUCGAUUCUGACCCGCGGCA
rnacentral:tRNA from 5 species